rnacentral:rRNA from 1 species
CCUACGGGCGGCAGCAGUAGGGAAUCUUCCACAAUGGGCGAAAGCCUGAUGGAGCAACGCCGCGUGGGUUAAGAAGGUCUUCGGAUCGUAAAACCCUGUUGUUAGAGAAGAAAGUGCGUGAGAGUAACUGUUCACGUUUCGACGGUAUCUAACCAGACAGCCACGGCUAACUACGUGCCAGCAGCCGCGGUAAUACGUAGGUGGCAAGCGUUAUCCGGAGUUAUUGGGCGUAAGGGGAACGCAGGCGGAGGGGCAAGUCAGCGGUCAAAUUGCGGGGCUAAACCCCGUACUGCCGUUGAAACUGCAUCCCUUGAGUGCGCGAGAAGUAUGCGGAAUGCGUGGUGUAGCGGUGAAAUGCAUAGAUAGCACGCAGAACUCCGAUUGCGAAGGCAGCAUACCGGCGCGCAACUGACGCUCAUGCACGAAAGCGUGGGUAUCGAACAGGAUUAGAUACCCUUGUAGUC